UCCCUGGUGGCUCAGACGGUAAAGAAUCUGCCUGAAAUGCAGGAGACCCAGGUUCAAUCCCUGGAUGGGGAC
rnacentral:tRNA from 1 species